ACUAAUAAAAACAAGAAAUAAAAUGUAAUCUAUUCACGUCUGUUAUUCUCCUAUCUCUCCUUUCUUCUCCAAAUCUCCUCUGUCUCUCGAUUUCUCUCACAAAUUGGACCAAAAAGGGAGUAGCUAUAGUCGAUCCCCUUUUUCUCACACAACAUCGAAAACGAGAUUCCCAAAAUUGAACACACCCAAUUUUCUAAAUAAAUCCGUCAGAUCAGGUGGUGGUGCGGUGACACUGCCGAUGAGCUCCGCCGCCGGCAACCUUCAAUCACCGCUGCUGUUCGCCGCCGUCGUAGGCCGCUGUCCCAAGAUAUGUUCGAAUUAUCGAUUUGCUUCGGUUACUGGUUUCAUGAGAUGCACAAGAAUGGAAUAGGAAUUGGGUGGAUGAGGUAUACCUUCAACAAUAGAUGGUCUAUGGAUUUGCUUUUAGUGACUUCUGUUUCUUCCUCUCUGUAUUUGGAUUAUUCUGUGGAGAUUUGGUUUGUUGGAGAGAUUUUAGGGAGUAGAGAUAUGGGGAAAUCGUUUGUUGAUGGGGUUUGGAGAAAUAUAUUUGACCAAGUAGUUGACUGUAAAAUUGAAAUAAAUAAUUGAUUUUUUUUUUGUUUUUACGGGGUGUUACGACUCUUUACUUUCUCUUGCAAUGAAGUCACUGAUGUAUCA